rnacentral:lncRNA from 1 species
GGUCACAGAAUUGGUGAGCGUUGACGACCCCCGCCUCCAAGUGCUUCUGAAAGUGCUGAAGAUCGCUUGGGGAGCGCGAACCCGCCAACCGUGGGAGGAUGAAGCGGUUUUCCGUUGUGUUCCUCCUGUUCGUGAUGCUUCUGACUGAGAACUUCACAGUGGCUUCAAUCUAUACUUUCUAUGAUGGUGAGAGCACCUCAGGAAUAACACCCGACUGCAAACAGUAUUCCCUUCCAGGAUGUCCAAGAAACUUAAACCCUGUAUGUGGAACAGAUUCCAUAACCUAUGGCAAUGAAUGCCUACUUUGUCAGAAAAUUAGGCACCCCACCCCACCCGCAGUCAGGCCUUCCUCCACAGAGAGAAGUUAUGGACAUGUCAAGGUGCUCCUUGUUGAAAGAAAUCCAAGAAGGAGGGAAGAGAACCAGAACAUUCAAAUCAAGUGGAGAGGAGUGUGCUGAUGGUUCAGCAGAUGCAAAGAAAAUACGGCUGAGAGAAAACACUUUAAAAUGGGAGAAUCACCUGAAACUUUAGCUUUUACUUUUCAAGUUUCAUAAAUUUUCUUGACUCUCUUCCCUACUGUUUCCCGGAAGAUUUAUUACUAAGAUCUAUUUGAGGAGGGGAUGUGGGCAAUUAGGCUUUUCAUAUCCCUGUGGUUUGUUUGUUUCGCUGGGUCUCUCUACUGCGGCUGUAGUUAAGAUCUUAUCUGCCCGAUAGUUUCUGCGCUGUCUCUAAGCCUGAAUAAAACCAGCAUUCCGCUGCA